rnacentral:rRNA from 3 species
AUGCAUGUCUAAGUACAAGCCUAAUUAAGGUGAAACCGCGAAUGGCUCAUUAAAUCACACCUAAUCUACUGGAUUGUUCCUGUUACUUGGAUAACUGCGGUAAUUCUGGAGCUAAUACAUGCGAAAAAGCCUCAACGCAAGGCGAGGCGCUUUUAUUAGACCAAAACCAAACGGUUCUACCGUUACUCUGGUGAUUCUGAAUAACUUUUUGCAGAUCGCACGGAUUAAUUCCGGCGACAAAUCCAUCGAAGGUGUGCCCUAUCAACUGUCGACUGUGGUAUAGACGUCCACAGUGGUUUUGACGGGUAACGGGGAAUUAGGGUUCGAUUCCGGAGAGGGAGCCUGAGAAACGGCUACCACU